GAUGAACGCUGGCGGCGUGCCUAAUACAUGCAAGUCGAGCGAACAGACGAGUAGCUUGCUCCUCUGACGUUAGCGGCGGACGGGUGAGUAACACGUGGAUAACCUACCUAUAAGACUGGGAUAACUUCGGGAAACCGUAGCUAAUACCGGAUAAUAUUUUGAACCGCAUGGUUCAAUAGUGAAAGACGGUUUUGCUGUCACUUAUAGAUGGAUCCGCGCCGCAUUAGCUAGUUGGUAAGGUAACGGCUUACCAAGGCAACGAUGCGUAGCCGACCUGAGAGGGGGAUCGGCCACACUAGAACUGAGACACGGUCCAGACUCCUACGGGAGGCAGCAGUAGGGAAUCUUCCGCAAUGGGCGAAAGCCUGACGGAGCAGCGCCGCGUGAGUGAUGAAGGUCUUCGGAUCGUAAAACUCUGUUAUUAGGGAAGAACAAAUGUGUAAGUAACUGUGCACGUCUUGACGGUACCUAAUCAGAAAGCCACGGCUAACUACGUG
rnacentral:rRNA from 1 species